rnacentral:rRNA from 1 species
UACGGGGGGAGCAAGCGUUGUUCGGAUUUACUGGGCGUAAAGGGCGCGUAGGCGGUCAGCACAAGUCAGUUGUGAAAUCUCCGGGCUUAACCCGGAAAGGUCAACUGAUACUGUGCGACUAGAGUGCGGAAGGGGCAACUGGAAUUCUCGGUGUAGCGGUGAAAUGCGUAGAUAUCGAGAGGAACACCUGCGGCGAAGGCGGGUUGCUGGGCCGACACUGACGCUGAUGCGCGAAAGCCAGGGGAGCAAAUGGG